AAAGGUGAAACCUAAUUGGCCUGAAGAAGAGCUUGCGUCUGAUUAGCUAGUUGGUGGGGUAAAGGCCUACCAAGGCGACGAUCAGUAGCUGGUCUGAGAGGAUGAGCAGCCACACUGGGACUGAGACACGGCCCAGACUCCUACGGGAGGCAGCAGUGGGGAAUUUUCCGCAAUGGGCGAGAGCCUGACGGAGCAACGCCGCGUGAGGGAGGAAGGUCUUUGGAUUGUAAACCUCUUUUCUCAAGGAAGAAGUUCUGACGGUACUUGAGGAAUCAGCCUCGGCUAACUCCGUGCCAGCAGCCGCGGUAAUACGGGGGAGGCAAGCGUUAUCCGGAAUUAUUGGGCGUAAAGCGUCCGCAGGUGGUCAGCCAAGUCUGCC
rnacentral:rRNA from 1 species